rnacentral:tRNA from 2 species
GCGCUCGUAGCUCAGGAGGAUAGAGCGGCGGUUUCCUAAACCGCAGGUCGCAGGUUCGAAUCCUGCCGGGCGCA